rnacentral:lncRNA from 1 species
GUUAACAGCUCUGCCUUUUUUGCACAGCUCAAUUCCUCUUGGGCUCUGUAUCACGCACUGUCUGCACUGAUGCGACAUGAAAAUAGAAAAAACCCUGCAGACCCUGAGAAGAAUAGAAUCAGGAGAGAAUCUGUGCGGCCAGCAGCUCCUAGCCCACCGCCUGGACCUUCUCCAUGUCCAUUGCCUGCACUGGAUUUACCAGCAAACCUCUCUGUAACAUCCGUUGGAUCAAAC